rnacentral:rRNA from 1 species
CAUAGUAUCUGUGGAUUAAAGGUGGCUUUUGGGCUGUCGCAGAUGGAUGAGCCUGCGUUGGAUUAGCUAGUUGGUGGGGUAAGGGCCUACCAAGGCUACGAUCCAUAGCUGAUUUGAGAGGAUGAUCAGCCACAUUGGGACUGAGACACGGCCCAAACUCCUACGGGAGGCAGCAGUGAGGAAUAUUGGACAAUGGGGGCAACCCUGAUCCAGCAAUGCCAUGUGUGUGAAGAAGGCCUUAGGGUUGUAAAGCACUUUAGUUGGGGAAGAAAGCUUUGAGGUUAAUAGCCUUGAGGAAAAGGACGUUACCCAAAGAAUAAGCACCGGCUAACUCCGUGCCAGCAGCCGCGGUAAUACGGGGGGUGCAAGCGUUAAUCGGAAUUACUGGGCGUAAAGGGUCUGUAGGUGGUUUGUUAAGUCAGAUGUGAAAGCCUAGGGCUCAACCUUGGAACUGCAUUUGAUACUGGUAAACUAGAGUACGGUAGAGGAAUGGGGAAUUUCUGGUGUAGCGGUGAAAUGCGUAGAGAUCAGAAGGAACACCAAUGGCGAAGGCAACAUUCUGGACCGAUACUGACACUGAGGGACGAAAGCGUGGGGAUCAAACAGGAUUAGAUACCCUGGUAGUCCACGCUGUAAACGAUGAGUACUAGCUGUUGGAGUCGGUGUAAAGGCUCUAGUGGCGCAGCUAACGCGAUAAGUACUCCGCCUGGGGACUACGGCCGCAAGGCUAAAACUCAAAGGAAUUGACGGGGACCCGCACAAGCGGUGGAGCAUGUAGUUUAAUUCGAUGCAACGCGAAGAACCUUACCUGGUCUUGACAUCCUGCGAUCUUUCUAGAGAUAGAUUGGUGCCUUCGGGAACGCAGUGACAGGUGCUGCACGGCUGUCGUCAGCUCGUGUUGUGAAAUGUUGGGUUAAGUCCCGCAACGAGCGCAACCCCUAUUGAUAGUUACCAUCAUUAAGUUGGGUACUCUAUUAAGACUGCCGCUGACAAGGCGGAGGAAGGUGGGGACGACGUCAAGUCAUCAUGGCCCUUACGACCAGGGCUACACACGUGCUACAAUGGGUA